rnacentral:lncRNA from 1 species
GUGUGUGUCAAUUUUUGUGUCAUUUUGACAAAGCGUACAGGCGUGACAGUCAAUAGUGUGAAUUUUCACCUUAGGGGGCGCUAUGGAGCCAUUUUGCAUUUUCUUGUUUGGGCGACUUCGGAAUAUCAAAUUUUUCACCAGGCCCGGUCGUCCUGCCAAAUUUCAUGAGUUUUCGCCAGUGGGAAGUGGGCCAUUUUCCAGUUCAAAGGGGAGGAAAAAUAACUAGGACCCCGUUGGGGCACUGGCGGGCCCGAGCCGUGUCGCGCCCCCCCCCAACGUGCUGCCUCCCCGUCCCAUUUGUGUCCUCUGGCCAUCGCCCUCUCUGGUAACGCCCAUCACUGCAAAGACCCUUUUCCUUCAUCGGCGUUUGCUGUUCUUCCUGCCAGUGCGUGUUGCUUUCACUUACACUUGCCACAGCCAGCCUCGUGAGUGCCUAGCCUAUUGGAUAUCACUGUCACCUACACAGGACAGUCAUUACCUUUCUAUUAAUACUUUGUGUUUUAAUUUCACAUUAAUUUCCAUAUUGUAUAAACGACUGGAAAAAACUUGAGCCCCUGCCCCUGUAUAAUCAUGUGCAUGUCUCUGUUCUAGCUCCAAGGUGAAUCUUCACUGCUCAUGUUCUCCUCAGAAGCACUCACCUCACUCCCCUCAGGUUACUGUACACAUGCACCAACUGCCUGCUUCAGGUUUGGAUGGAGCUUCAUGGUUGUCUUUUGGAGAAAUGACCAGUCAAGUUGUGUUUGAAAUUUGAUUUUUUUCAGGGGCAAAAGGAGCCUCUGCAUUCUUGUCAAAUAUGUAAAUAGCAUGUUUUUGCAGGUGCUAAAAACCAGACUCUGAGUGUGUGUGUGUGUGUGUGCGUGUGUGUGUCUGUGUGUGCGUUCAAGUCACAUGACAUAUUUAACCGGAUGUAGCUGCAGCCUCGUUGACUCUCCGUUUCAACUUAUCUCAAAAGUGAGGACCUCAACCUAUAUACCAGUUUUUAAAUUGUGUUGAUAGGCCAAAUAAAACCAGAGUUAUGAUAAAUUAUGUCCGCGAUACUUUUUUUCUGCUUAUUUUGAUCACGUUCGGCGCUCGAUCGCGCUGUAUGAGACAGGAAAACAUAGCAUGCAGACAUUAGCGACAGCUCUUACAGGCGGAAAAGGCUUGCCAAAAGAAAAAAAAAACACACCACAACAUCUCUCCUAUUGGUGGAAAACUUCACCACAACAACCAAUCCAAAAUUAUAUGGUGACUGAUUGACAAGGGGCGGGCGCUUACGUUCUUCCUGCAACAUGAGAAGGGAGGGAGGGACUCUCAGCAGGGAUGCAGUCUGGGACACGUAGUUGCAAACCUAGCGACUUUGUUGUUAGAUUCAAUGACUUUUCAGACCCCCUAACGACUUUUUUUUAGAAAGAAAGGGACUUUUAUCGACUUCUUCUGGAGUUUAGAGACUCUGACAUGAAGCAGGCUUUCCUUACUGAGGAGUUAGCAACGCUGCUAAGGGUGCAGAGCCACACAUGCGCUCAGAGCUCUGCAUGGGAGACUGAAGCUGACAGAGCUGCAGCAGUUAGCAGGUUUCACCCUCAGAGACCACCAGGGGUUCAUGUUGAGGCAUUUUAAUUUUUUUUUUUUUGUGCCAUAGACACUGUCAGCACAAUCUGCAGUUACACUAACAAAAAUGCUGCAAAAAACAAAGAAUUAUGGAAAAAUUACACAUGGACUGACAUACAGGAGGAUCUACACAAGUUUUUUACAUCAUGUUUUACAUCAUGCAUCAUUUACAUCAUGUUUUUUUGUAGUGGCAUAAAUAAAAAGUGACAUUUGUGAGACUAUACAGUGUUUUGUAAAUAAUUUUACAAAGAACGCCUGGGCCAUUGCCUGCAUUUUGAUGUAAAUAGAGGUAAAUCACUAUGUUCUUUGUUAAAAAUUUGCAUAUGUUUUGAAGUUUACAAUUUUUAUUUGAAGUUUAAGUUUUAAAAACAGUUCAUCACACAUAUUUGUGGUUUUCACAGUAAAAAUGUUACUUUUUUCCACUCGGAUUUUAUGUUUUGUGUGUGAAUUUGGGUCCAUUGUGUAAAUUCAGUAUGUCAACAUGAUAAAAUAACUGUAAAUUCGCACAGGUGAGGUUGUGCUGAAAAAAAUGAUACCAGGCAAGGCACGUGAUUGUCAAAUUUUGUGUCAAUAUGACAAAGCGUAUAGGCGUGAAUCUCAACAAUAUGUAUUUUCACCUUAGGGGACAAGAAAAAAUGGACUUUUUUCUCCUGCCAUGGGGGGGCGCUCUUUUGGGGAGUAAAAAUUCCUUCACAAAUGUGUUGAUGGCUGGACAUUGCAUCAUCCUAGAAAACUUGGAGGCCAGUGAGGACAAAAAUAAAAAGUUAUAAGACUUUUAAAUAUGUGGAUUUUAGGGUUAUCUUUGGCGCCCCCUAGAACCUAAACCGUGGGGUGCAGCGUCAUGAUUUUGAUAACUUUUAAUGGCCAUGGGCUGUAGAUUGGCCUGAGCAAAUGUGGUGCCGGUGGAACGAAAGCCUUAGGAGGAGUUAGCCACAUUCCAAUGUGUGCGGAUCGGCAAAAAAUGCGGAAUAACCCUUUAACCGUACAUUUGACAGAUACGCGCGCAUUGACUUUUUCGUAGAUCUUAUUGAGAUACAUGUGUGUGUCAAAUUUUGUGUCAUUUUGACAAAGCGUAUAGGCGUGACACUCAACAAUGUGUAUUUUCACCUUAGGGGACAAGAAAAAAUGGACUUUUUUCUCCUGCCAUGGGGGGGCGCUCUUUUGGGGAGUAAAAAUUCCUUCACAAAUGUGUUGAUGGCUGGACAUUGCAUCAUCCUAGAAAACUUGGAGGCCAGUGAGGACAAAAAUAAAAAGUUAUAAGACUUUUAAAUAUGUGGAUUUUAGUGUUAUCUUUGGCGCCCCCUAGAACCUAAACCUUGGGGUGCAGCGUCAUGAUUUUGAUAACUUUUAAUGGCCACGGGGUGUAGAUUGGCCUGAGCAAAUGUGGUGCCGGUGGAACGAAAGCCUUCGGAGGAGUUAGCGAAAUUCCAAUGUGUGCAGAUCGGCAAAAAAUGCGAAAUAACCCUUUAACCGUAAUUUUGACAGAUACGGCCGCACUGACUUUUUUGUAGAUCUUAUUGAGAUACAUGUGUGUGUCAAUUUUUGUGUCAUUUUGACAAAGCGUACAGUCGUGACAGUGAAUUGUGUGAAUUUUCACCUUAGGGGGCGCUAUGGAGCCAUUUUGCAUUUUAUUGUUUUGGCGACUUCAGAAUAUCAAAUUUUUCACCAGGCCCGGUCGUCCUGCCAAAUUUCAUGAGUUUUCGCCAGUGGGAAGUGGGCCAUUUUCCAGUUCAAAGGGGAGGAAAAAGAAAAAAGAAAGAAAGAAACAAAGACUAGGGCCCCGGUGGGGCACUGUCGGGCCCGAGCCGCGUUGUGCCGCCCCCAGCGCGACCGCCUCCCCCUCCCGAUCGCGUCACACUCAAGGUCCAAA